rnacentral:rRNA from 1 species
GACAGAGGGUGCAAACGUUGUUCGGAAUUACUGGGCGUAAAGCGCGUGUAGGCGGCUCGGCAAGUCGGAUGUGAAAGCCCUGGGCUCAACCUAGGAAGUGCAUUCGAAACUGCAGAGCUUGAGUUCUGGAGAGGAAGGCGGAAUUCUCGGUGUAGAGGUGAAAUUCGUAGAUAUCGAGAGGAACACCUGUGGCGAAGGCGGCCUUCUGGACAGUGACUGACGCUGAGGCGCGAAAGCGUGGGGAGCAAACGGG